CGUGGGUAACCUGCCCAAGAGAUCGGGAUAACACCUGGAAACAGAUGCUAAUACCGGAUAACAACAGAUGAUGCCUAUCAACUGUUUAAAAGAUGGUUCUGCUAUCACUCUUGGAUGGACCUGCGGUGCAUUAGCUAGUUGGUAGGGUAACGGCCUACCAAGGCGAUGAUGCAUAGCCGAGUUGAGAGACUGAUCGGCCACAUUGGGACUUAGACACGGCCCAAACUCCUACGGGAGGCAGCAGAC
rnacentral:rRNA from 1 species